rnacentral:rRNA from 1 species
AUUGAACGCUGGCGGCAGGCCUAACACAUGCAAGUCGAGCGGAUGAAGGGAGCUUGCUCCUGGAUUCAGCGGCGGACGGGUGAGUAAUGCCUAGGAAUCUGCCUGGUAGUGGGGGAUAACGUCCGGAAACGGGCGCUAAUACCGCAUACGUCCUGAGGGAGAAAGUGGGGGAUCUUAGGACCUCACGCUAUCAGAUGAGCCUAGGUCGGAUUAGCUAGUUGGUGGGGUAAAGGCGUACCAAGGCGACGAUCCGUAACUGGUCUGAGAGGAUGAUCAGUCACACUGGAACUGAGACACGGUCCAGACUCCUACGGGAGGCAGCAGUGGGGAAUAUUGGACAAAGGGCGAAAGCCUGAUCCAGCCAUGCCGCGUGUGUGAAGAAGGUCUUCGGAUUGUAAAGCACUUUAAGUUGGGAGGAAGGGCAGUAAGUUAAUACCUUGCUGUUUUGACGUUACCAACAGAAUAAGCACCGGCUAACUUCGUG